GCGUGAUUUUGCCAGCUGCAUAUGGUUUCUGUGAGUGUAUGGGUGUCUGGAAUUCUGGAGACUUUUCAGAGGGUAUUAUAUAAAUGCUAGAGCUCUGAUAGGUGGGUUAUUGUUGGGUUGUUGGUUGGUUUUGGCUGCUGUUGCUUGUUGGCUAUUGUUGUCUGCUGUUAAUUGUGGUUUGAUAAGCAGGCCUACAGAAAGAAGAAAGAGCAAGAAAUUAGAUAUCCUAACAUGAAGCUCAAACUUGCCCCAAGGAACUCAGUGCCCCAGGCCAGCAGGAAGUAGUCUAAUGAUAGCACCGCCCCCUUUUCAGCCCCUGACUACAUUCAGGGAUCUCUUUCCUUUCUUCUCUAUCCUUUCCUCUCCUAUCUAUUGUUAGGGGGUUGAACGGGUGGAGAAAAGAACCCACAAAGUAGCCAAAGACUGGCUACAAAUAUCAAAGCUGAAUACCAGUGGCACAAAUGUAAUCCCCAGCUUUCAGGAGAUUGAGAUAGGAAGAUUGUGGAUUCGGGGCUAUAUUGAGAUGCUG
rnacentral:lncRNA from 1 species